rnacentral:rRNA from 1 species
GGUGAACGUUGGCGGUGCGCCUAAUACAUGCAAGUCGAGCGAGAAAGUCCAAACCCGCAAGGGGGAGGGCGAGUACAGCGGCGAACUGGUGAGUAACACGUGAUCAACCUACCUCUCCGACAGGGACAACCUUUGGAAACAAAGGCUAAUACCUGAUGGCGUUGCUGGCCCACAAAGGCGAGCAAAUAAAGGGGCGUUUGCUCCGCGGGGAGAUGGGGUUGCGGCCCAUCAGCUAGUUGGUAGGGUAACGGCCUACCAAGGCGAUGACGGGUAGGGGGCCUGAGAGGGCGAACCCCCACAUGGGGACUGAGACACGGCCCAGACUCCUACGGGAGGCAGCAGUGGGGAAUCUUGCGCAAUGGGUGACAGCCUGACGCAGCAACGCCGCGUGGGGGAAGACGGCCUUCGGGUUGUAAACCUCUUUCAGCAGGGGAGAAGCGUGAGUGACGGUACCUGCAGAAGAAGCACCGGCUAACUACGUGCCAGCCGCCGCCGUAAUAC